rnacentral:rRNA from 1 species
GACGAACGCUGGCGGCGUGCCUAAUACAUGCAAGUCGAACGAACCGCGACUAGGUGCUUGCACUUGGUCAAGGUGAGUGGCGAACGGGUGAGUAACACGUGGGUAACCUACCUCAUAGUGGGGGAUAACAGUCGGAAACGACUGCUAAUACCGCAUAGGACAUAGGAUCACAUGAUCCAGUGAGGAAAGGUGGUGCAAGCUAUCGCUAAGAGAUGGACCCGCGGUGCAUUAGCUAGUUGGUAGGGUAAAGGCCUACCAAGGCGAUGAUGCAUAGCCGACCUGAGAGGGUGAUCGGCCACAUUGGGACUGAGACACGGCCCAAACUCCUACGGGAGGCAGCAGUAGGGAAUCUUCCGCAAUGGACGCAAGUCUGACGGAGCAACGCCGCGUGAGUGAAGAAGGUCUUCGGAUCGUAAAGCUCUGUUGUUAGAGAAGAACAGCGCAUAGAGUAACUGUUAUGCGUGUGACGGUAUCUAACCAGAAAGCCACGGCUAACUACGUG